GGUUUAGUGAAAGCAGUCUAAAUCAGCCAAACUCCACCAGUUCCCGCCAAACCCCCAAUUCCCUGAAAAACCUUUUCUUAAACCCUAAUUUUGCUCAAAAUCCCUAGCCACCCACAAUUUCUCAUCCCAUCAGCAUGGCCAUGGAUCCAAAGGCAGUGAAAUCAGACCUAGUUCUUAUCCUCGACUUCGGCUCUCAAUACACACACCUCAUCACCCGUCGGAUUCGCUCUCUCAACAUAUUUUCUCUGUGUCUUUCAGGCACUUGUCCUUUAGAUGCUAUUACUUCACUUAAUCCAAAGGUUGUGAUUCUCUCCGGCGGUCCCCACUCUGUCCACUCAGCGGAUUCGCCCACGUUUCCGUCGGGUUUUGUCGAGUGGGCCCAGUCGAAUGGAUGUUUUGUGUUGGGAAUUUGCUAUGGGUUGCAGUUGAUUGUGCAGAGACUGGGUGGUGAAGUUAGAAUUGGGGAAAAGCAGGAAUAUGGGAGGAUGGAAAUUGAAGUGGGGACGAAUUCGGGUAUUUUUGGGAAUAAAAAUGUAGGGGAUAAACAAGUGGUGUGGAUGAGCCAUGGGGAUGAGGCUGCAGAAUUGCCUCAUGGGUUUGAAGUGGUGGCUAGGAGUCAGCAAGGGUCGGUUGCUGCGGUGGAGAACCGAGAGAAGCGGUAUUAUGGGCUGCAAUAUCACCCUGAGGUGACUCAUUCACCAGAGGGCAUGGACACACUGCGGUAUUUCCUGUUUGAUGUUUGUGGAGUUUGUGCCAGUUGGAGCAUGGAAAAUGUGGUGGAUGAAGAAAUUAAGAUGGUCAAAGGCACGGUUGGGCCUGAUGAUCACGUCAUAUGUGCAUUGUCGGGGGGCGUAGAUUCAACGGUUGCUGCAACUCUUAUUCAUAAGGCAAUUGGGGAGAGGCUUCAUUGCGUUUUUGUUGACAAUGGAUUAUUAAGGUAUAAGGAGAGAGAGCGUGUGAUGGAAACUUUUGAAAGGGAUUUGCAUCUUCCUGUUACUUGUGUGGAUGCUUCUGAACAAUUUCUUAGUGAGUUGAAGGGUGUGGUCGACCCUGAAAUGAAAAGGAAGAUCAUUGGGAAGGAGUUUAUUAACAUUUUUGAUGCUUUUGCCCAUGAUUUGGAGCAAAAAUUGGGUAAGAAGCCUGCUUAUUUAGUCCAAGGGACCCUGUAUCCUGAUGUCAUUGAAUCUUGCCCACCACCUGGAUCUGGAAGAACCCACUCACACACUAUCAAAAGCCAUCAUAAUGUUGGAGGGCUUCCAAAGGACAUGAAAUUGAAGCUCAUUGAACCACUUAAACUUUUAUUUAAGGAUGAGGUUCGUCAACUAGGAAAGAUCUUGAAUGUUCCUGAAGGAUUUCUUAAGCGACAUCCGUUCCCUGGGCCUGGCCUUGCUGUGCGAGUCUUAGGGGAUGUGACUGAAGGCAAUGCACUAGAUAUUCUUCGCCAGGUUGAUGAGAUUUUUAUCCAAGCCAUAAAGCAUGCCGGGCUUUAUGAUACAAUUUGGCAAGCUUUUGCAGUAUUUUUACCUGUAAGGUCAGUCGGAGUUCAAGGUGAUCAAAGAACUCAUUCUCAUGUUGUGGCGUUGAGGGCUGUUACAAGUCAAGAUGGAAUGACUGCAGAUUGGUACUACUUUGAACACAAGUUCCUUGAUGAUGUGGCUCGAAAAAUAUGUAAUAGCGUGCGGGGUGUAAACCGAGUUGUUCAAGACAUUACAUCAAAGCCUCCAUCAACUAUUGAGUGGGAAUGAUGGCACGAUGGACUCGGAAAAAAUCAGUGGAACUCCAUGACUGUUAAAUGUAUCUCAUCUAGUUCUUGCUCCUUAUUUAGUGAGCUCAACAAAAAGGAAAAUGAGUUGAGCUGGUCUACAAUGUGAUUAAUGUGAAGCUUAACUCUUAUGUUGAUUCACUAUAUGCCAUAGUUUUGGCAAGGCAUUUACACCACCAUAUCCGGUUACAGAGUUACUCAAGACGCCCACCCUCACCCAACUCCUCCAGGAAUGAAUCAGCGGGUUUGGACCUCCAUCUGGAAUUUGGCCUGCUCCCCUAAGAUCAAAGCGUUCCUCUGGCGUUGCGCAUCCAAUGCCUUAGCGGUCCAGUCUAAUCUUGCCCAGAGAAGAAUCUCAGACUCCAGCCUUUGUAGGGAAUGCCUUUAUUUUCAGCCAGAAAGCCAUCAUCCCAAGGAUUGCCCUAGCAGAAGCCUGGAAACUCUUCUGCUUCCAUCAGAGUUCCUUGCGCCCUGCUCCUCCAACAAUGGCAAAUCCUCUUCCAAGAGCCAAAAAAUGGGUCCUCCCGCCCAUGGGCAGACUUAAAGUAAACUCCGAUGCCUCUUUUGACGCCAUUAACCAGACUGCAAUCAUUGGCUUUGCGUGUAGGGACCACCUGGGCAAUCUGAUUUUUGGCAGAGCUUCUAAAGUUUUUUGUAGAUCUCCGUUGACCGCUGAAGCUUUUGCUCUUCGAGACGCUGUCCGAUGUGCAAUCCACUUUAACUGGCAGUUUCUGAAUUGCGAAUCUGACUCUUCAGUUUUGAUUAGCCUUUGCAAUCUCAACAACGAAGUUGUCCCCUGGGAAGUUCAGCCUCUCAUAGAAGAAAUUAAGGAAAUAUCUGGUUUUAUCCAGUCUUGUAAUUUUUUGAAUAUCAGCAGAACUCAGAAUUUAGUUGCUGAUUGGAUUAGCAAAUCCCCCUUUUUAUUGUACAAUGAGGGAUGGUAUGUAGAUCCCCUUCCAGAUUUGAAACAAUUAUUGUA